rnacentral:rRNA from 1 species
CGGGGUGCAGCAGGCGCGAAAACUUUACAAUGCUGGCAACAGCGAUAAGGGGACCUCGAGUGCCAGGAUACAAUCUUGGCUGUCGCGAUGCCUAAAAAGCAUUGCAUAGCAAGGGCCGGGCAAGACCGGUGCCAGCCGCCGCGGUAACACCGGCGGCUCGAGUGGUAACCGCUAUUAUUGGGUCUAAAGGGUCUGUAGCCGGCCGGAUAAGUCUUUUGGGAAAUCCAGCUGCUCAACAGUUGGGCUUUCAGAAGAUACUGUUCGGCUCGAGACCGGGAGAGGUGAGAGGUACUUCAGGGGUAGGGGUGAAAUCUUGUAAUCCUUGAAGGACCACCAGUGGCGAAGGCGUCUCACCAGAACGGAUCUGACGGCAAGGGACGAAAGCUAGGGGCACGAACCGGAUUAGAUACCCGGGUAGUCCUAGCCGUAAACGAUACUCGCUAGGUGUCAGCCACGGUGCGACCGUGGUUGGCGCCGUAGGGAAGCCGUGAAGCGAGCCACCUGGGAAGUACGGCCGCAAGGCUGAAACUUAAAGGAAUUGGCGGGGGAGCACAAGGGCGAAUGGCG